CACCCCAGCGCCCGCCGCGUUCCUCCCCGGCAGCCCUGCGGGGGACCAAGAGCCGUGGGUGUCAGUGUGGACCCGUUCCCCCACCCUUCCUUCCCUAUCCCUGCAGACCUGCGGUUCACCUCUGCUCCAGUUCCCCGCCCAUCCUUCAGUCUGAUAGGCAGAAGACGAAUGGGAAAUUCGGAAGCGCCCAGGAAUUUGCAAAGCCCUUGGCUAUCGCAAAAUGUCUUGCACUUCGCAGCCAAGACUAACCUGUGACAAAGUGCAGCCCUUCCUGUGAGAUGUCCAUACCAUUGAUGGACCCAGACAAGGAACCUUCCAACUCUCUGAUUACUGACCCAUCAAAUACUUCCCAGUAAGCAAUCUGGAAUUCAGGAAAAAGAGGCAUUAGGUGGUGCUCAGUGGCAUUGUCACACACAUGCUAACAAAGAUGAUUCCACUUUAUAUAAAAG